CCUCUGGUCAAUCUAUCUGAAGGUCAUGUUCAAACACUCUUGUCCCAAGUGCUGUAUUAGUCUUACCAUUCUUGAUUCGACUGUAAAGAUUGUGGCUAGUCCAUCCAAUGUAUAUACCUCAUCCCUAUUUAGGUUAUGUUUAACAGGAAUCUGAUAGACACCAGAUCUCAAAUUAGGAUGUAUGGGCAGCUUGUCAUUCGUCAGGUGUUGGAAAAUCAUGUUAGUUUUUUUAAAUGUGAUCCUCCAUUCACCAAUCUUCUCCAACAAUCUAAGAUUCUUUUUCACAGAUAUACAGUACAGUAGGGCUGCAUAUUCCAUUUCCCUUACCAGUUGUACCCCACUUCAUGGUGAAAAGUUAGCUUUCUUUAUUCAGUGCAUAGCACUCACAACAGGUUUCUGGAUGAUAGUUGGCUCUAUGCCUUGUCUUACAAGAUUUUCCACCUACUUGUCCUUUGUCCCUUAUGUCAAGUGAUGAAUCAAGGCCCUCCUAGAGAUGUCAAAAGCUGCCAGCUUGUAAUAUUCUGAAUCAUAUGAUGCCUUCCUUAUAUAAAUUGUCCUGAACAUCAGUUUCCUAUAAACUUAUUAUAGCAGGAAUUUUCUACAUUUAUAUCGACAUCAAGAAAGUGUAUAUUCUUUUUCAUUUGGUCCAGAUUCAACUGAAUGCCUAGGGAGUCAUCUGUUAAAGGGUCUUUUCUGCUUA
rnacentral:lncRNA from 1 species